rnacentral:rRNA from 1 species
GUGGGGAAUAUUGGUCAAUGGGCGAAAGCCUGAACCAGCAAUGCCGCGUGAGUGAUGAAGGCCUUCGGGUUGUAAAGCUCUGUCAGUGGGAACGAAUAAGCCGAUUAAUACUCGGUGGUGACGGUACCCACAAAGGAAGCACCGGCUAACUCUGUGCCAGCAGCCGCGGUAAUACAGAGGGUGCAAGCGUUGUUCGGAAUUACUGGGCGUAAAGCGCGUGUAGGCGGUCUAGCAAGUCGGGUGUGAAAUCCCUUGGCUUAACCAAGGAACUGCAUUCGAAACUACUAAACUUGAGUAUCGGAGGGGGUGGCGGAAUUCCCGGUGUAGAGGUGAAAUUCGUAGAUAUCGGGAGGAACACCUGUGGCGAAGGCGGCCACCUGGAAGAUUACUGACGCUGAGACGCGAAAGCGUGGGGAGCAAACAGGAUUAGAAACCCUAGUAGUCC